ACACAUGCAAGUCGGAGGGGCAGCGGGAUUGAAGCUUGCUUCAAUCGCCGGCGACCGGCGCACGGGUGAGUAACGCGUAUCCAACCUUCCGUUUACUCAGGGAUAGCCUUUCGAAAGAAAGAUUAAUACCUGAUAGUAUGGUAAGAUUGCAUGAUAGUACCAUUAAAGAUUCAUUGGUAAACGAUGGGGAUGCGUUCCAUUAGGUAGUAGGCGGGGUAACGGCCCACCUAGCCUACGAUGGAUAGGGGUUCUGAGAGGAAGGUCCCCCACAUUGGAACUGAGACACGGUCCAAACUCCUACGGGAGGCAGCAGUGAGGAAUAUUGGUCAAUGGGCGAGAGCCUGAACCAGCCAAGUAGCGUGAAGGAUGAAGGUUCUAUGGAUUUGUAAACUUCUUUUAAUAAGGGAAUAAAGUGCUUUUACGUGUAGUAGUUUUGUAUGUACCUUAUGAAUAAGCAUCGGCUAACUCCGUGCCAGCGUCGACGC
rnacentral:rRNA from 1 species